rfam:Gregarina niphandrodes unplaced genomic scaffold scaffold00101, whole genome shotgun sequence.
GGCUGUUUGGUCUAGUGGUCUUGUUCUUGCUUAGGGAGAAGAAGUCCUGGGUUCGAUUCCCAGAGCAGCCC